ACGUCCGUCUCCGGGCCCGCGCCCGCCGAAGCGCCCUGUGAACCCUGAUGAAGAUGGGCUGUCUGAGUCGCAUGAAAAUUGUCAAAACUUUCAACAAUGGAUCUCUUGGUUCCGGCAUCGAUGAAGAACGCAGCGAAAUGCGAUAAGUAAUGUGAAUUGCAGAUUCCGUGAAUCAUCGAAUCUUUGAACGCACAUUGCGCCCCCUGGCAUUCCGGGGGGCAUGCCUGUCCGAGCGUCAUUUCUGCCCUCAAGCGCGGCUUGUGUGUUGGGCGUGGUCCCCCCGGGGACCUGCCCGAAAGGCAGCGGCGACGUCCGUCCGGUCCUCGAGCGUAUGGGGCUCUGUCACUCGCUCGGGACGGAUCGGCGGAGGUUGGUCACCACCACAGUUUUACCACGGUUGACCUCGGAUCAGGUAGGAGUUACCCGCUGAACUUAAGC
rnacentral:rRNA from 1 species